GAUCCUUCUGCCUCAGCUUCCCAAAGUGCUGGGAUAAUGCAGGUUUGGAAACUGAGGCUCAAGAUGUUAUACAGUCUGCUUGAGGUCAUUGUUUAAUGCUGAGCUGGGACUACAACUGGGGCGUGUCAAUUCCCAGGUCAGGGACCUCACUACUAGAUGGCCAUGAUUGCUGUCUUUGGAGAAGGAGCUAGUAUAGCAUUGGACUCAUGAAUUGGGGAGGGGGAGAAUCAAGUUCAAGGAAUGCAGGUCAAUCAUUAAGAGUUUUCCCUGUAGACCCUAUCAGUGAUUCUUUCUCCUACUUCCACUCUGUUCACCUGAGGAAAAGGUGCCAUCAGUAAUAUUUGUUACAUGCAGUGAUUCUCCACUAGGGGGGGAAUAUCUCCAUAUCUUUCCUUAGGGGGCUCUAUCUUCACAUCUUGGGAUCUGGGGAAGGGCUUGUGAGAUUACAUCCUCUUCCCCCCAAGUUGAAUCUAUCCAUCCAAAAGAGCAGGUUUCCCACCCAUUGUGUUGGGAAGGUGGUCAGGGGCCCUGGUUGUCAGGGCUCCAUACUGUGACUUCAUCUAGAUGGCAACUUUGGCAGUGUUCCCAAAAGGUUUGGGGAAGCACAUGGGACCCAGCCACAUUUUGGUCUGAACCUGUGUACGUUUUGUGGGGCUCCGCAAUUGCAUAACAUCGCGAGCUUGGGACUUCACAAGGCAGAGAAAAUAAAAAACAAAGAGGCCUAGAGACACGCACCUGCAUAAGCAGCCGAGCAGAAGUAACCUAUAAACACAAGAAAAGCAGCUCUCGAACAAUUCCAUCUGCAUUUUAUUGAAAGAAAUCUUUGAAAAGGAGAGAGAGAAGGUACAAUUUACAAGAACCAUGGUAUAAAUCCUGCCACAGUGCCAAUUGCUAAAAGCAUUGGAGCCUGGGAAGGAGGGAGAAAUCCAUUCAUUCAUUGCCCCCAGAAAAUAGGCACCCGGGCCCGUGGCAUACCUCAUGCGCCCCGUGGGAUUUACACCUCUGACUGGCUGAUUGCAUGAAUCACCUUGGAUUGAUUGCUUCUAUAUAGAAUGCUCCUUUAUAGCGUGUAUGCUUUCUCAUCGCAGCUCGGCUCAAUUCCAUUCUGCUGAGCCUCUUUGGGACACUUUGCAUGAGAGAUGCGGGAGAAGGUAAUGUUGUGUUUGUUGGUUUCUCCGGUACGUUUCAAGACUGAUUUACUGAUUUAUGCUGGGUGCAGAGGGAAAUUCCAUCAUUCCCACAUCAAGUGAAUCCCAAAUCAAGUGGACCCCUCCUCAUUUCUACAAAGGGCCAUGCACUUUACUCUUUUCCAUAUUGUUAUUACCCUUUUAAAAAUCCCUCAUGGGCACAUAUCUGUCUAUUUUUCUUUCUUCUCUCUUCUUCCUUUUUCCCCCACUGGAAAUAAUUUCCUUCAUUGGAUGUAUUACUCAGCAUGGCUGGUAUUAACAGUGUGCUCAAGGCGGCUGAAUUUCAAGGUUUAUGUUUUCUUCUCUUUAUCUCCUGUGCUGAGCUCUCCCUGGGACGCUGGGGUUCUGUCCCGGUGCCGUCCAACUGUCUUGGCCUUUUAAGGAUUUUCAUCACUCUUGCAGUCCGUAUCUUGCUAGCUGUCAUAAUCAUUCCCGGUGUUCAGGUCACCGAAGACCUCGUUGGAGAAACCUUUCAGGUCACCUGGACUGGCCACGUUGGACUGAAGAGUUGAGGAAAACAAGGGUCGAGACUGCUCCAGGUCCGGGGGGACACAAAU